rnacentral:lncRNA from 1 species
AUGGCUGCCCCCAGAGCACCGUGGGGGGAGCAGCACGCAGCACCCAGGCUGGGAUCAGCAGUGAGGACUGUCAGCACAGCAGCUCAGUGGAUUGACAGAUUCACUCAGACAUCAUCUCCAAGGCUGGGGGGGGAGAGGGGCACGUACUCACUCACCACCUCCCCGAUGAGGGCUGAGAGGCUGGGGGCCACCUGGCUCAUCUUGGAGCGCAGGUACUCCUGCAGGCCCUUACGGUACUCAGACAGAGAGAUCACGCGGCUGGAGAAGCUCUCGAUGUUGAUGAGGUCGAUGGGGGAGAUGUCCAUCCCUGGGGGAAAGCAGUGUCAGGGAGCUGAGCUCUGCCAGGAGCUCUACGGGCUGUGCAGAACCCCACUCACCCAUGGAGGAGCGGGACGCCUCCAGGAUGGCCUGAGCCUUGGCACCAUCCAUGACGAUCUCCUCCAGCCCCUCCAGGCUCUCCUCGCUCAGCUCCUUGCGGUUCCCGAUGAAUUUGGCCAGCCGGCAAUACGUGUAGUUCUCAGAGACGAUCUUGAUCAGCUCGGGGAAGUGGUACCCGUACCACUCCCUGCAGGACAGCAUCAGCACAGGCACCGACCCCACACCGACCCCACGCCCCCCCAGCCCCCCGUGUCCCCCCGGUCACAAUCCGGCUGCAGCACCGCCGCCCCAGCCGGGGUGUUACCCGAGGCCGUGCUCUCCCUCCCCGUUCUAUGCAGGCGGUUGGAGAUGCAGCCACCUGCGGUAAGCGUGGGGAGGCCCCGCACCACCACCCUGCCCAGCCCCCGCUCACCGCACGCGCAUGGAGAAGGUGUUGAUGUCCUUGUCCAGCUGGUCCAGCAGACUGAUGGACUGGAUGAUCAUGUUGUCCACGCGGUUCACGUUGAACUUCACCUUGGCCCGGGAGUAGCUGUGGCCGAGGCCGAGCUGCGCCUUGGAGGCCGACUGCGCCGUGAGGCCCUUCACCAGCGCGUGGAAGUGCAGGCGGAUCCCUGCGGGGGGACAAACCGUCACCGGCCCCGUCCCCGCCCCCACGGCAGCCCCGCGCCCCACAGCUCGGCUCACCCCGCAGGAUCUCGGCCACCACGCCGCCGGUCUGGCACUGGUAGCCCAGCUCCUCCAGGAUGGCGGCCCCGAUUUUGGCGUCUCCCACCCCCAGCAGCGCCUUCUUCUUCUUGGCCGGCAUCGACGUCUCCAGCAGCAGCCGCAGAUCCUCGUGCAGGAUCCCUGCGGGACGCGGAGCGGCGCUCAGCGGGGCGGGCCGGGAGCCGCACGGGGCGGCCGCGCGCCGCGCUCACCCUCGGAGACGGCGUUCAUGUUCUCCAGGGCGGCCUGCGCGGAUUUGAACGGGGAAAACGCCACGAGCUUCACCACGUUGUGGAACUUGCCGACGGUGAGCACGCUCUCCUCCACCUGCGACGGGACGCGGUCACGGCACGGAGCGGCGCGCGGGGCCGCCGAGCCCCCGCCCGCGGCCCGGCCCGGCCCGUACCUGCGGCAGCAGCAAACCGAUCUCCUCCACCUCGCGGACGGCGAACAGCGCGUAGCCGGCGGCAUGCUCGAACAGCGCGUGCAGCAGCACCUGAGCGAGCGCCGUCGUCAGCGCGGCCCGGCUCGCCCGCCAGGCCCCGCUCCGCUCCGCCCCGCCGCGACGAGGGCGGCCCCGCUCCGCGCCCCGCGGCCCCCCGGCCCGCUCCCACCCGCUCCCCCCGCCCGGCGUUGCGGCCCCGGCCCGAUGCGGGCGGAUUGGGCCCCGCGCGCCCCGCGCUCACCAUCGUGCCGCCAGCGCCGCCCGGAACUGAGAGCGCCGCACCGGAAGCCCGCUUUGCCGGAAACACGUCCGGCCCGCACGCAGCCAAUCGGCGGCGGCACCGCCGCUCCCUCCAACCAAUCAGCGCAGGCUUCCUCUAG